rnacentral:miRNA from 13 species
UGCAUAGCGGGUGAUCUCCCUA